UCGAGAAUUUUUCACAAUGGGCGAAAGCUUGAUGGAGCGACGCCGCGUGGGGGAUGAAGGCCUUCGGGUCGUAAACCCCUGUCAUUUGCGAACAAACCUUGUUAUUUAAAAGAUGACAAGCUGAUAGUAGCGAAAGAGGAAGGGACGGCUAACUCUGUGCCAGCAGCCGCGGUAAUACAGAGGUCCCAAGCGUUGUUCGGAUUCACUGGGCGUAAAGGGUGCGUAGGUGGUGAGGUAAGUCGGAUGUGAAAUCUCCAGGCUCAACCUGGAAAUGGCAUCGGAAACUACCUCGCUGGAGGUUUGGAGGGGGGACUGGAAUUCUCGGUGUAGCAGUGAAAUGCGUAGAUAUCGAGAGGAACACCAGUGGCGAAGGCGAGUCCCUGGACAACACCUGACACUGAGGCACGAAAGCUAGGGGAGCAAACAG
rnacentral:rRNA from 1 species